rnacentral:rRNA from 1 species
CUACGGAGGGUGCAAGCGUUACUCGGAAUCACUGGGCGUAAAGCGCGCGCAGGCGGGCUGAUAAGUUGGAUGUGAAAGCCUACGGCUCAACCGUAGAACUGCAUCCAAAACUGUCAGUCUAGAGUGUGGGAGAGGAAGAUGGAAUUAGUUGUGUAGGGGUAAAAUCCGUAGAGAUAACUAGGAAUACCAAAAGCGAAGGCAAUCUUCUGGAACACUUCUGACGCUGAGGCGCGAAGGCGUGGGGAGCAAACAGGAUUAGAAACCCUAGUAGUCC